GACGAACGCUGGCGGCGUGCUUAACACAUGCAAGUCGAACGGAAAGGCCCUGCUUUUGUGGGGUGCUCGAGUGGCGAACGGGUGAGUAACACGUGAGUAACCUGCCCUUGACUUUGGGAUAACUUCAGGAAACUGGGGCUAAUACCGGAUAGGAGCUCCUGCUGCAUGGUGGGGGUUGGAAAGUUUCGGCGGUUGGGGAUGGACUCGCGGCUUAUCAGCUUGUUGGUGGGGUAGUGGCUUACCAAGGCUUUGACGGGUAGCCGGCCUGAGAGGGUGACCGGCCACAUUGGGACUGAGUUACGGCCCAGACUCCUACGGGAGGCAGCAGUGGGGAAUAUUGCACAAUGGGCGGACGCCUGAUGCAGCAACGCCGCGUGCGGGAUGACGGCCUUCGGGUGGUAAACCGCUUUCGCCUGUGACGAAGCGUGAGUGACGGUAAUGGGUAAAGAAGCACCGGCUAACUACGU
rnacentral:rRNA from 1 species